AUGCUGACGGCUGUGUUUCGGCUACCUGAAGUAGUCAAGUUGCGUACAAUAUGUCUUCUUUGGGCAUGGUGGUCUGAACGUAACAAGGCAAAUCAUAACCAAUCACGUUUAUCAGUAGAAGCUUUUGAAGCAAAGGUUGGGCAUACCAUUACUGAAUGGCGUGAGUUCUUGGGGCAUAAUUGUGGAGAAAAGCCAACGGUGGUUCAGACGUGGUCUAGGCCUCCUGCAGAUUUCAUUAAGCUCAACUUUGAUGCUGCUUUUAAUGCCAACUCAGGGACUGGGGGUUGGGGUGUCAUUGCUAGAGAUGUCGACGGCGAGGUUGUACUGGCUGAUUCAGGGGCUCUGCAUCAUAUGGGUUCUGCACUUCAAGCUGAAGCUCAUGCCCUGUUGAAUGCCAUCCGGCUAGCCGAGCAACUUGGUAUGGGUCGUGCUAUUUUUGAGACCGACUGCUUGGCUUUGAAGCGGGCAAUUGAUACUGAUUCAGCUGAUCGGGGCCCUCUUGGCGUUUUGUUUUGUUUCGGAAGCAAGAUUUCAGCUUAA
rnacentral:rRNA from 1 species